rnacentral:lncRNA from 1 species
AUGAAAACAUCUUUUCUUCCUAACUCACUGCAGAUGCCAAAGACCAUCUGGAUCCUUCAGUUAUGCCUUGUUGUGCCUGAUGUCUUACUGUUGAAAGAAAUGGGGUGCAGCAGCAGAUGCCAGCAAAGUAAAGGUGCCUACAUAGUGCUGUUUGCAAAGCAAGGUGUUUUAUGAGAGCAUGGAACUGCACGUCACAGCACCUUUUCUCCAUGGGUUGAGACUGUUGUAACACUCCAAACUUCUGCUACCCACAUACCCUCCACUGCAGUAAUUCUUUGGUACUGUGGAGAGUCAGUCACACAGUGCUGAUCAGAUCAUGUGCCACCUGUUAUGUCCACUAGUAUAUGGGAAUAUAGCAAGGAAAAGAGAAUAACAAAGCUUUAGUGGUGUGGUGUCCCUCACAGUCAGUGUAGUAAGUUAGAACAAACUGCAAAAACUCAGAGCUAUUUUCCUCAGCAGGUCAGCAUUCAGGGAAACCCAGAGCACAGGGAGAGUUACUGCCACCAUUCCCCCCCUUCCCCAGACUGGCAUUCUGGCCAAAGUUAAUGAUUCAUAAGAUUCUGCACUGAUUUCACUGUGAGCUUCCACAUUUGCAUAAGUAAAAGCUUCUGCAGCUUCUGUAGGGAAAUUCUUAGUGAAAUUGCAGCACAAAACAUUGAUAUUAUGUAAUUAUAGUAGUUCAUUGUAACUUAAAUGAAAUUGUUACUUUAAACUUGCUCUAAGUGGCUCACAAUGGAACUUUGUAUGACACACCUACAAAACAAAUGAGUUAAUCACAAUAUGUGUCAUUUUUAAUUUUUCUCUUUCAUUUUUCUUUCAGUCAUUCUCUCUUUGUAAUUAGCAUGAAGACUACCCUUCAGUCAAAACUAGCCACCUGGAAAGUUUCAGCUUGUAAUAUGCAGCUUUUUUUGUGAAUUAUGAAUGUGCUAAAGAAGAGACCUUUCUCCCCACACCCACUUCCUUGCAUAAUUCAAAUAUGAAUGAAUGAAUUUUAUUCAGGCUUGCCAAAAAAAUCAUAUUUCAGCUGAUAACAAGCAUGAAAAAUUUCACAUGAAAGGGAUUUUUUUUUUUUUUAAGAAUAUUCCGAGCAUGGGAGAACAGCAGGUUAAGACAGAAGUCUUAGUGCAGCCUUAAAUAUAACAAUUGUUAGCAAGCAAAUACUAUAUCCAAGCACUAGAUUUUGCUUUGUGCUGCCCUGGUGCACAGUACUGGGGACAGAAUAGAAUAAUAAAAGCUGGUCCCCUUAUGCA